ACUCCUACGGGAGGCAGCAGUGGGGAAUCUUGCGCAAUGGGCGAAAGCCUGACGCAGCCAUGCCGCGUGAAUGAUGAAGGCUCUGAGAUUGUAAAAUUCUUUCACCGGGGACGAUAAUGACGGUACCCGGAGAAGAAGCCCCGGCUAACUUCGUGCCAGCAGCCGCGGUAAUACGAAGGGGCGUAGCGUUGCUCGGAAUUACUGGGCGUAAAGGGAGCGUAGGCGGACAUUUAAGUCAGGGGUGAAAUCCCGGGGCUCAACCUCGGAAUUGCCUUUGAUACUGGGUGUCUUGAGUAUGAGAGAGGUGUGUGGAACUCCGAGUGUAGAGGUGAAAUUCGUAGAUAUUCGGAAGAACACCAGUGGCGAAGGCGACACACUGGCUCAUUACUGACGCUGAGGCUCGAAAGCGUGGGGAGC
rnacentral:rRNA from 1 species